UUUCCCUACGGGAGGCAGCAGUGGGGAGUAUUGGGCAAUGGACGCAAGUCUGACCCAGCAACGCCGCGUGAAGGAAGAAGGCUUUCGGGUUGUAAACUUCUUUUAAGGGGGAAGAGCAGAAGACGGUACCCCUUGAAUAAGCCACGGCUAACUACGUGCCAGCAGCCGCGGUAAUACGUAGGUGGCAAGCGUUGUCCGGAUUUACUGGGUGUAAAGGGCGUGCAGCCGGAGAGGCAAGUCAGAUGUGAAAUCCGCGGGCUCAACUCGCGAACUGCAUUUGAAACUGCUUCCCUUGAGUAUCGGAG
rnacentral:rRNA from 1 species